rnacentral:lncRNA from 1 species
GACCAUGCAUGCAAACUUUGAAUGUAAUCACUUCCUAAUUAGCAAAGCAUGGAGCAGUUGUCACUCACUUGUUUGAAAUCCUCUCUUGUCAACCACUACUAACACACCAUGUAUAUUUUAUACUGAGUUGCAUGACAUUUUUUAACAAUUUUCUACACACUGAUUUCUGUACAAGCUGGUUAUUCUGUUCGAUAUGUGGGUUACCAGUGCUUAAAGUUAGGAAAAAGGCUUAGUUAUUGAUGGUUGGUAAUAUAAAAAAGGCAUCCCUCGUUACUUAUGGUGACUGAAACCCUCAACGUCCUUUACCC